GAGGGACGAGGAGGGAGGUU
rnacentral:miRNA from 1 species